rnacentral:rRNA from 1 species
GACGAACGCUGGCGGCGUGCUUAACACAUGCAAGUCGAACGGAAAGGCCCCUUCGGGGGUACUCGAGUGGCGAACGGGUGAGUAACACGUGGGUGAUCUGCCUUGCACUCUGGGAUAAGCCUGGGAAACUGGGUCUAAUACUGGAUAUGACCGCAUGCUGCAUGGUGUGUGGUGGAAAGCUUUUGCGGUGUGAGAUGGGCCCGCGGCCUAUCAGCUUGUUGGUGGGGUAAUGGCCUACCAAGGCGACGACGGGUAGCCGACCUGAGAGGGUGAUCGGCCACACGGGGACUGAGACACGGCCCAGACUCCUACGGGAGGCAGCAGUGGGGAAUAUUGCACAAUGGGCGCAAGCCUGAUGCAGCGACGCCGCGUGAGGGAUGACGGCCCUCGGGUUGUAAACCUCUUUCGCCAGGGACGAAGCGUAAGUGACGGUACCUGGAGAAGAAGCACUGGCCAACUACGUGCCAGCCGCCGCGGUAAGAC